ACGGGAGGCAGCAGUGGGGGAUAUUGCACAAUGGGGGAAACCCUGAUGCAGCGACGCCGCGUGAGUGAUGAAGUAUUUCGGUAUGUAAAGCUCUAUCAGCAGGGAAGAUAAUGCCGGUACCUGACUAAGAAGCCCCGGCUAAAUACGUGCCAGCAGCCGCGGUAAUACGAAUGGUGCAAGCGUAAUCCGGAUUUACUGGGUGUAAAGGGAGCGUAGACGGCAUGGCAAGCCAGAUGUGAAAGGCAGGGGCUCAACCCCGGGACUGCAUUUGGAACUGUCAAGCUAGAGUAUCGGAGAGGUAAGUGGAAUUCCUAGUGUGGCGGUGAAAUGCGUAGAUAUUAGGAGGAACACCAGUGGCGAAGGCGGCUUACUGGACGAUAACUGACGUUGAGGCUCGAAAGCGUGGGGAGCAAACAGGAUUAGAUACCCUGGUA
rnacentral:rRNA from 1 species